rnacentral:tRNA from 1 species
GGUUCAUUAGCUCAGUUGGGAGAGCACCAGCUCGACAAGCUGGGGGUCGCUGGUUCGAACCCGGCAUGUACCA